rnacentral:rRNA from 1 species
GCCAGCAGCCAUAUCACUCUGCAACUCACAACUGGCAACCCACUGAAGCUAAGCAGGUGUGAGCCUGGUCAGUACCUGGAUGGGAGACCUCCUGGGAAAAACUAAGGUUGCUUCUAGAA